rnacentral:rRNA from 1 species
UACAGAGGGUGCAAGCGUUAAUCGGAUUCACUGGGUUUAAAGGGUGCGUAGGCGGGUAAGUAAGUCCGUGGUGAAAUCUCUGAGCUUAACUCAGAAACUGCCGUGGAUACUAUUUGCCUUGAAUAUUGUGGAGGUGAGCGGAAUAUGUCAUGUAGCGGUGAAAUGCUUAGAUAUGACAUAGAACACCAAUUGCGAAGGCAGCUCACUACACAAUCAUUGACGCUGAGGCACGAAAGCGUGGGGAUCAAACAGG